CGGAGUGUAGCUCAGUCUUCAGAGCGCCCGGCUUGGGACCGGGAGGUCGCAGGUGGAAAUCCUGCCAUUCCGACCA
rnacentral:tRNA from 1 species